AGUGAACGCUGGCGGUAGGCCUAACACAUGCAAGUCGAACGGCAGCACAGUAAGAGCUUGCUCUUACGGGUGGCGAGUGGCGGACGGGUGAGGAAUACAUCGGAAUCUACUUUUUCGUGGGGGAUAACGUAGGGAAACUUACGCUAAUACCGCAUACGACCUACGGGUGAAAGCAGGGGAUCUUCGGACCUUGCGCGAUUGAAUGAGCCGAUGUCGGAUUAGCUAGUUGGCGGGGUAAAGGCCCACCAAGGCGACGAUCCGUAGCUGGUCUGAGAGGAUGAUCGGCCACACUGGAACUGAGACACGGUCAAUACUCCUACGGGAGGCAGCAGUGGGGAAUAUUGGACAAUGGGCGCAAGCCUGAUCCAGCCAUACCGCGUGGGUGAAGAAGGCCUUCGGGUUGUAAAGCCCUUUUGUUGGGAAAGAAAAGCAGCAGGUUAAUACCCCGCUGUUCUGACGGUACCCAAAGAAUAAGCACCGGCUAACUUCGUG
rnacentral:rRNA from 1 species